GCAUGAAGUCGGAAUUGCUAGUAAUCGCAGAUCAGCAUGCUGCGGUGAAUACGUUCCCGGGCCUUGUACACACCGCCCGUCACACCAUGGGAGUCGGUAACACCCGAAGUCGGUAGCCUAACCGUAAGGAGGGCGCCGCCGAAGGUGGGAUUGAUGACUGGGGUGAAGUCGUAACAAGGUAUC
rnacentral:rRNA from 1 species